GGUCCUUGCCGCAGGUAGCACCCGAAA
rnacentral:sRNA from 1 species